GGGGGCAUAGCUCAGUUGGCAGAGCAACGGCCUUUUAAGUCGUAGGUCGAUGGUUCGAAUCCAUCUGCCCUCA
rnacentral:tRNA from 1 species